rnacentral:rRNA from 1 species
UACGUAGGGAGCAAGCGUUGUCCGGAAUCAUUGGGCGUAAAGCGCGCGUAGGCGGCCCUGUAAGUCCGUUGUGAAAGUCAAAGGCUCAACCUUUGAAAGCCGAUGGAUACUGCAGGGCUAGAGUCCGGAAGAGGCGAGUGGAAUUCCUGGUGUAGCGGUGGAAUGCGUAGAGAUCCGGAAGAACACCGGUGGCGAAGGCGGCCCGCUGGGCAGUUGCUGACACUGAGGCGCGACAGCGUGGGGAGCAAACAGG